rnacentral:rRNA from 1 species
CUGGUAAAGGUUUUCGUAGGUGACCUGCGGAAGGUCAUUACCGAGUGCGGGCCCCUCGGGGCCCAACCUCCCACCCGUGUUGCCCGAACCUAUGUUGCCUCGGCGGGCCCCGCGCCCGCCGACGGCCCCCCUGAACGCUGUCUGAAGUUGCAGUCUGAGACCUAUAACGAAAUUAGUUAAAACUUUCAACAACGGAUCUCUUGGUUCCGGCAUCGAUGAAGAACGCAGCGAAAUGCGAUAACUAAUGUGAAUUGCAGAAUUCAGUGAAUCAUCGAGUCUUUGAACGCACAUUGCGCCCUCUGGUAUUCCGGAGGGCAUGCCUGUCCGAGCGUCAUUGCUGCCCUCAAGCCCGGCUUGUGUGUUGGGCCCCGUCCCCCCCGCCGGGGGGACGGGCCCGAAAGGCAGCGGCGGCACCGCGUCCGGUCCUCGAGCGUAUGGGGCUUCGUCACCCGCUCUAGUAGGCCCGGCCGGCGCCAGCCGACCCCCAACCUUUAAUUAUCUCAGGUUGACCUCGGAUCAGGUAGGGAUACCCGCUGAACUUAAGCAUAUCAAAAACGGGAAGGAA